AGGCUACCGUUUUACAGCUUGUGUGAACGACAGCACUUUUAGUUGCCACCUUCCUGCAACAGAAUGCUGGAUCACUUGAUCAAUGUACAUAUGUGGCUCCAGUUGAAUUUGCUCCCGAGUUUUCUUCUCAAAUGAAGGUGUUGCAAGUGCAGCAGAAAGUCCAACGGGCAUUGAGGAAGACGGAUGCAUUGAGAACAAGGGCUGAGGAAUCUCUCUAAAUGAUGAAUCUGUGAAGUGAAAUAUAUAUAUGGCACUGGAGCACAGGCGUGUCUCAGCGAGCCUGCGAAGCCAGGAUGUUGUCCUGACUUGGGGAUCAGAUGGAGCAC